GGCGGCGUGGCUAAGACAUGCAAGUCGAACGGACCAUUAAUUUAUUGUGGUUAGUGGCGAAAGGGUUAGUAACGGGUAGGUAACGUACCCUGUGCUUCGGGAUAGCGUCAGUAGCUUCGGCUACUUUCCGAAGGGGCGGUAAUACCGGAUAAUAUCAUUUGUCGAUAGGCAUAUGAUCAAAGAUUUAUCGGCAUAGGAGCGGCCUGCCUCCUAUCAGCUUGUUGGUGAGGUAAAGGCUCACCAAGGCAACGACGGGUAGCGGGACUGAGAGGUUGGCCCGCAACAUCGGGACUGAGACACUGCCCAGACCUCCACGGAGGGCUGCAGUAACGAAUAUUGCGCAAUGGGCGAAAGCCUGACGCAGCGACGCCGCGUGUAGGAAGAAGUCCCUCGGGAUGUAAACUACUGUCAGGGGUAAGAAAGUGCGCUUCGGCGCAUUGAUCUAACCCAGAGGAAGUCACGGCUAACUUCGUGCCAGCAGCCGCGGUAAGACGAAGGUGGCAAGCGUUGUUCGGUAUCACUGGGCUUAAAGAGUGUGUAGGCGGAAAGGUAAGCGUUCUGUGAAAGCCCCCGGCUUAACCGGGGAACUGCGCAACGAACUGCUUUUCUUGAGGCAAGUAGGGGUGCAUGGAACUCUUGGUGGAGCGGUGGAAUGCGUAGAUAUCAAGAGGAACGCCAGUGGAGAAAUCGGUGCACUGGGCUUGUCCUGACGCUGAGACACGAAAGCGUGGGGAGCGAACGGGAUUAGAUACCCCGGUAGUCCACGCCGUAAACGAUGCCUACUAGGUUGUGGGAGUUCUGACACUUGCACAGCCGAAGCAAAAGUGCUAAGUAGGCCGCCUGGGGAGUACGGUCGCAAGGCUAAAACUCAAAGGAAUUGACGGGGGCUCACACAAGCGGUGGAGCAUGUGGAUUAAUUCGAAGCAACGCGUAGAACCUUACCUGGGUUUGACAUGCUUGGAUGCUUGCCUGGAAACAGGUUAAGUUACCUUCGGGUGAAACUUGCACAGGUGCUGCAUGGCUGUCGUCAGCUCGUGUCGUGAGAUGUCGG
rnacentral:rRNA from 1 species